UCCGCGGGAUGUUUAGCAAACCGUCUUGCAAAGCGUCUGUUUAGUGUUCCGUGCCGAGUGGUUUGUUUUGCCCGAUUCGGAGAUCGAGAAUUGCAAUAUGUUGGCCAGGCGAGAGAAAGCGAGCCCGCGCCUUUUUUUUUUCAAACCAAGGCGGCGUUUUGUGCCGCUUGAUUUCCUUUUUUGAUGCACCAGUUUUAAGAGGCGUGGACUUUUCCACCUCCUCCUGUACUUGGGAGUAAACCUCAGUGGACUUUGUGGAACCUAUUUUACAAACCAAGGUAAUCCGGAUCAGGGCAGGCUAGAAAGGAAAAGGAAAUGAAACGAAGGGCUGGGAAAUGCAGGGCGGCCUGGCCCGGCGCUUCUAUAUUCCUGCUGGACGCGCCCCGUGACGUUUCUCUUCCGGCUCUACCUUGGAGUUUGCGGGGAGCGGGUGGAUGAAGGCCGGCGAACUUCGAACGGCCUGGUUUAUUCCAGCUCAGCCGCCGCCUCGGAAGAAAAAGAUUUUGGAUUUUCAACGGCGUUGUGAUUGUAUAAACGGGUUUGGAUUCGGAUUAAAAAAUGUCAUUCUAAACAGACACAAGGCUUACUGGAUAGAGACCGAUGGGUGAAAUGGAAGAGGACUUCUGAGCCCUGCAAAAUAACAGAUUCUUUUCACCAACAAUGGCAGAGGGGAUUUCACAACCUGUCUUGCUGAAUGCUGUCAUCAAAUUUAGAAGUUGAGUGCCAUGAAAAUGUGCAUCGAGCAGAGAAUUUGGGACAUCAAUUUCAGACAUACAGUAUACCACAAAUGUGAUGCAAUGCACCAUCUCAUUGACCCCAUUUGUGUUGAGCUUGGAGAUUUCCUCAUUGCUGCUACAUCAAUAAACCUUAAA